rnacentral:rRNA from 1 species
GUCUACAGCCACACCACCCUGAACACGCCCCAUCUCGUCUGAUCUCGGAAGCUAAGCAAGUUAGUACUUGAAUGGGAGACCACUUCAGAAGAUCAGGUGGUGUAGGUG